rnacentral:rRNA from 1 species
UAGGGAAUAUUGGACAAUGGGCGAAAGCCUGAUCCAGCCAUGCCGCGUGAGUGAUGAAGGCCUUAGGGUUGUAAAGCUCUUUCGCCGAGGACGAUAAUGACGGUACUCGGAUAAGAAGCCCCGGCUAACUUCGUGCCAGCAGCCGCGGUAAUACGAAGGGGGCUAGCGUUGUUCGGAAUUACUGGGCGUAAAGCGUAUGCAGGCGGACCGUUAAGUCGGAGGUGAAAUCCCAGGGCUCAACCCUGGAACUGCCUUCGAUACUGGCGGCCUUCGAGUCCGGGAGAGGUGAGUGGAACUCCGAGUGUAGAGGUGAAAUUCGUAGAUAUUCGGAAGAACACCAGUGGCGAAGGCGGCUCACUGGCCCGGUACUGACGCUGAGAUACGAAAGCGUGGGGAGCAAACAG